rnacentral:tRNA from 1 species
GUUAGGGAAGUUAAAUUGAGCUAACAGGGAGCCUAAAAUUCUUGAGACAGAGGUUUGAUUCCUCUUCCUAAUA